ACAGACAAAUUUCGCAGGAAGACAAAAACUGGGUGGCCAACAUCCAAGAGCUACAAAGAAAGCACAGGAUAUCAGACAGGAGUCUGCUUGUCAAGUGCCUGAUAGUGCUGGGAUUUGUUAUCUCCAUGUUCUUCCUCAAUUCCUUUGUCCCUGGCAUUCAUCUUGAUCUCGGGUGGAUUGCUAUUCUGGGUGCCAUCUGGUUGCUAAUUUUAGCUGACGCUCACGACUUUGAGAUCAUUCUCCACAGAGUAGAGUGGCCGACCCUCCUCUUCUUUGCGGCGCUCUUUGUACUGAUGGAGG